rnacentral:rRNA from 1 species
UGAGGAAUAUUGGUCAAUGGGCGGGAGCCUGAACCAGCCAAGCCGCGUGAGGGAUGAAGGUGCAGAGCAUCGUAAACCUCUUUUGUCGGGGGACAACACCGGAGUUGCGACUCCGGCUGAGGGUACCCGAAGAAAAAGCAUCGGCUAACUCCGUGCCAGCAGCCGCGGUAAUACGGAGGAUGCGAGCGUUAUCCGGAUUUAUUGGGUUUAAAGGGUGCGUAGGCGGCGACUUAAGUCAGCGGUAAAAGCCCGGGGCUCAACCCCGGCGAGCCGUUGAAACUGGGUUGCUUGAGUUGGAGAGAAGUAUGCGGAAUGCGCGGUGUAGCGGUGAAAUGCAUAGAUAUCGCGCAGAACUCCGAUUGCGAAGGCAGCAUACCGGCUCCACACUGACGCUGAGGCACGAAAGCGUGGGUAUCGAACAGG